AUUUCUUAAUUAGAGCCGCCCAGCCAGGCAGACCUCCAGCUCAGACCCCUGUGCUGCCUUCUAAGGUUUCAUGAGGGACCUUGUCCUGCCUUAUUUCCUGAGUUCUAAUAUUUGAAUAGUGUGCAGUGGAUUUCAAUGGGAGGAAAGACAUGUAAUUUAAUCAUCUUUAUUAGAUUUUGCCUGUGGAUGGGGAGAGGGGAAGGAAGGAGGAGGGACGUGUGUCCUCUCUUUGUUAAUUUUUUUUUCCUUUUUCUCUACCUUUCUUCCAGUGGUCAAAGAAGGUGGAGACUCAACGGCUGUUUCUUUUUCCUUCAUUUUUCAAACAAAGAAGCUUCAUGAGAACAUUAAGCCCCAAAGAGAAUUGUGUUCAUUGCAAGACUUGUCAAGGAUCGGUGGAGAGAUUUAUAUAAACAAAUCAUUCAGUUCUUCCUUUGGUGACCUUGGUCCUGAGAGUGAAUGCGAUGGUCCUACAGCUUUUUGGCCCUUCAUCAGUACAGAAGCUGCAGUCUGUGCUCAGCAAGACCUCACCAAAUGCAGGAAAAUUAAAGAGAGAAAUGGUCCAUGGCGUAUUCUUACCCACCAUAAAUUGGCGUCAUUUUGGCCACCAUCCAGGGGAGAGAAACCAGCCUCCUGAAACAGAGAAAAAAGAUCAGAAGCUGCUGUAAGGAAGGGAGAUGCAACUUUCCUGGGAAAGAAUUAUCCUUUGCUCCAUUGCUCAGUCAUUCAACAAACACCACCCAGGACAUACAUCGAGUGGAAUAAGGCCUAACGCUGUCUUUCAGAGGCAGCUUUUAGGGUCAGCCUUCACAAACAGUGGCUCAACAUCUCUACAGUGUCAGCCCAGCCCCAGGCUUCUGCCUCGACCAACCCAUGAUGACCAGGCAUGUGACCUGUCCCCAGCCGGCCGGGACACGCUGCUCCUGCCAUUAUUUCUAAAGCUCUGGGGGGGGGGGGGGGGCGGGGUGUGGAGAAUCAGCAAACCUGACUGGUUCAAAUGGAUUUCCACUCUUCAUGUUCAAGCAUUUUGGGUUUGA
rnacentral:lncRNA from 1 species